AAGCGAGGAGGAGAACGGACAGUCUACUUUGUGGACUUCAGUAUAACCAACUGCUCCAAGAGAGUCGCCAGGUACCCCUCACCCAGGCGCUGCGAUUUCGUUGGAUUCUGCAACGGAGAUCUGGCAUACAGCGUAGGAGUCACCAACCUGGAGAACCCGGAGAACAUUGAAGUCAACUGUGAAAUCUUCAACAAUACCAAGUACUUCACAAAUUUUGGAAGCGGAAAAGACCAUCAUCACCCCCACAAGAAAAGCCACCGUUUCAGUAAUUGUACGGUCUCAGCUCCACCAGGUGUGAAGCCUAACCGAAGGAAUUUUACGGCCCCUCACGGUCAUCAACACCACCACGAUCACCAUCACCGACCCCGUCCCCAUCCCCCAAACUGCCCCUUCCGUUUAGCAGACCCACUCGCUCCUCAAGAAGGACAAGAUAGAAAACGGCAAAAAGGGGAUGAUUUAUCCUCCCCUCAAGAUGUUCCUUCUCCUUGGAGAAGUCACAGAAAUGGACACGUUUCGAAGUCACGAGGCGAGCACCGCACGAGACAUCCCCCCUACUCUGGCAAACACAAGCACGGGGAUUCCCACUCAUCGGAAGAAGAUCAUUCAUUUAGACGACACUUUUUUCCGCACUGGCCACAGCUCGGCUCCGUCCACCGUCUUCCGCCGUUGAAGAAGGAUGAGGUCCUUCCCGUUCCCGAAGUCAACUUUCCCAGGCCGCACCGCUAUCCAUCCCCGGAACGUGACGGCCCUCGAAGGCCAGAAAUUCCGCCCUUCCCACAGUCACCUUCAGUGUCUUGUCCGGGGAAACUCAAGUAUGAGAGCUCAGUUUCACGCUUUCUGCCGUAAAGAACUCUAAAGCGAAGGCUGGUCGCUGAUGGAAACAAUCACCUUUCCAUGGUGGAAAUCACAGAUACAAUAUUCUAGUAAUCGCGUGUAAAAUUUCAGUGUCUUUGCUUCUGAUAGUGGGAAUAAGGAAAGGAAAGAGGGAAGUGGAAGCAGUGAGGGCUGGAAAGAGAAACAGAAAAUGCACUUGCUUGCUUAAGCACAUUCAAGAAAGUGUUAUAUUGACUCUGUUACCAAUUGGCUGUAAAGCCUUAAACAAGUCUCUUGACUCUUUCUGCCUCAGUUUCUCCAUCUGUAGAUGCUCAAUAAAUAGUUUGGAUUGACUGACUGAGAACUCGGACGCCUAGCUCCCUUUCCUGGACUUCCUAAAUUCUCACACAUCACUCUUUUUUUCAAAUGUGGACAUAUUGUAUUAGGAUCCUGAAAAGGGGCCCUGUGUGAUAUCUAUCCAUUUAUUCUUUCUCCAACCGGGUCUUUCUUUCUUCCUCAUUCCUUGUGGACCCACAUUCGGUAACCUCGUCCUAUCGGACCCCCGGUUUGACCUGCACUGCACACAGAAGCAGCCUGGACUAGUGAAGAGAGAACGGACCCGGAAAUCAGAGGACCUGGGUUCUGAUCCCGUCUCUUCCGAGUGCCUGCUGUGUGACCUUGGGCAAAUCACUUAGCUUCUCCGUACCUCAUUUCUCCUGUUCGCCUUCCUACUUAGACUGUGAGUCCCAUACGAGAUAGGAACUGUGUCCAACUUAAUUCACUUGUAAUUACCCCAGUGCUUCGAACAGUGCUCGACACACAGUAAACGCUUAAAUGCCGUAAAAAAAUAAACAAAACCAUUUCUCCCCCUAUCACAUCACAGUGAGUCCAGGUAAACGCAUUUGGAUAGAAAAACAUUCCCUAAUUCCUUAAGAGUGCUCGAUCCAAACAGUGAAGUAAGAAGUGAAGUAAAAUUAAGGGUUUGUAUAUUUUCAAAGAUGCACUGCAGUCAGUAAAUCAGUGUCUUCUGAGUGCCUACUUUACAAAGGCAGGAGCUUAGUUUUAGGAGUUUACAAAAGACGAAGGAGCUUCCACUCAAAGACAAAUGGACAAAUUCAAAGACACAAGGGGGAGGGGGAUGCGACGAGGGGACCUAAGGCGCGUAUCACGGGAUUGCAGAUGUGCCGGAGUUUCACGCAAAUCUUGGAGGAUAUUAGAGAGCACAGCUAGGGAGUAGGCAGCGAUGCUAGGCGCAAUGUCUUCAGAAAUAAAUUGAUUUAUUGAAAUAAUUGAAAUGAAAUUGAUUGAAAUACUAGUGUCUGAUUGAUUGACUGAAGGGCAUAGGCAUAGCAGUGCGCACUAUGCACUGAGCUAAGAACUAGGAAAAAUAAAGUAUAACUAUCUCAAACAUGGUCCUGUGCCCAAAGGGCCUCCAAUCUAAGGAGUAUGAGGACAAAUAGAAAGCACAAUAAUAAUGAAUAGCCAAAACCAAGAUUCACCUGACCCCGAAAGAAGGAAGACGUAGCAUUUCUGUCACACAAAAAUCAAUCCGUGGUAUUUAUUGAGCACUUACUGUGUCCAGAGCACUGUACUGAGUGUCUGAGAGAGAGUAUCGAGUACUCGGAGCAGCUAAGUGUGCAGGCUGGAUUGCAGUAGGAAGCAGCGAGGUAAGGUAGGAAGGGACAAGGUGAUUGAAUGCUUCAAAGUCAGUGAUAAGGAUUUUCUGUUUGAUGUGGAGGUGGGUGGGCAACCACUGGAGGCUCUCGAGGAGUGGGGAAACAUGGCCUGAGUGAGAGUAGGUAGACAUAUUCCCUGGCCACAAGGAACUCAUCUGUUUAUUUAUUCGUUCGGUCGUAUUUAUUGAGAGCUUACUGUGUGCAGAGCACUGUACUAAGUGCUUGGAAAGUAUAAUUCGGCAACAUAUGGAGACAAUCCCUACCCAACAAUGGGCCGGAAGGGGAGACAGACAGCAAAACAAAACAAGUAGACAGGCAUCACUACCAUUAAAAUAGAUAAAGAGAACCAUAGAUAAAUGCACCUCAUUAAUAAAAUGAAUAGAGCAGUAAAUAUGUACAAAUAUAUACGAGUGCUGGGGGGAGGGGAAGGAGGUAGAGCAGAGGGAGGGAGGUGGAGGAACGGGGAGGGGAGGAGGAGGAGAAGAGGGAAAAGGAGGGCUCAGGCUGGGAAGGCCUCCUGCAGGAGGUGGGCUGUCAGUAGGGCUUCGAAGAGGGGAAGAGAGUUAGUUUGGCGGAGGUGAGGAGGGAGGGCGUUCCAGGUCAAAGGUAGGACGCGGGUCAGGGGCCGAGGGCGGGCCGGGCGCGAAUGGGACCCAGUGAGGAGGUGGGCGGCAGAGGAGCGGAGCGUGCGGGCUGGGCUGGAGAAGGAGAGAAGGAAGGUGAGGUAGGAGGGGGCGAGGGGAUGGAGAGCUUUGAAGCCAACAGUGAGGAGUUUUUGCUGCCAGCAAAGGUUGAUAAGCAACCACUGGAGGUUUUUGAGGAGGGAGGUGACAUGCCCAGAGCGUUUCUGCAGAAAGAUAAUCCGGGCAGAGGAGUGAAUUACAGACUGAAGCAGGGAGAGACAGGAGGAUGGGAGAUCAGAGAGGAGGCUGAUUCACUAAUCCAGUCGGGAUGUUAUGAGGGAUUGUACCAGCAAGGUAGCAGUUUGGGCAGUGUUGAGGUCUGAACUUACAGUGUAGAAGUUCACGACUUUUCAUAUGGAAGGUUAUUGUUUGCAAAGUCUGAUCAUAGCUCUGGUGACAAUUUCAAAGAUUUUGAAACAUAUCCUCCCGAUUACAAGGGCUGUUUUUUAGAAGAGCUAUAUCAAACAAUCAAUAGUGUUUAUUGAGCGCCUACAGUGUACGGAAAAAUACAGCGAUCGAUGAUUGCUAAAGAAGUGACCACGUUUGUCCCUUUCUAUUUCCCAGGACGUUUUCCCUUUUAAAGGAACAGAAAAUCGCAUCUCCGAGAGGCCUUCCCCGACUAAGCCCUCAUCUCCUCACUUUCUCUUCCUUCAGCAUUGCCCUGUACUUGGAUCUGUACUCUUCAUUCGCCCCAUCCUCAGCCCCCCACAGCACUUAUGUACGUAACCAUGAUUUGACGUCUGUCUCCCCCUCUAGGACUAUAAUAAUAAUAAUAAUAAUACUAACGUUGGUAUUUGUUAAGCUCUUACUAUGUGCAGAGCACCGUUCUGAGCGCUGGGGUAGAUACAGGGUCAUCGGGUUGUCCCACGUGAGGCUCACAGUCUUCAUCCUCAUUUUACAGAUGAGGGAACUGAGGCACAGAGAAGUAAAGUGACUUGCCCACAGUCACACAGCUGGCAGAGCGGGGAUUCGAACCCAUGACCUCUGGCUCCCAAGCCGGGGCUCUUUCCACUGAGCCAUGCCGCUUCUCUGUUUCUCGCUGCUUCUAUAAGUUCCUUGAGGGCGGGGAAUGUGUCUACCAAUCCUGCUAUACUGCGCUCUCCCAAAUUUUUAGUACGGUGUUCUCGACAUGGCGCUCAAUACAUAUGAUUGAUCGAUUGCUCUGCACACAGUAAGGGCUCAAAAAAUACAACUGAUGAUAGUCAUGGGCAGCAAUGUGUCUGUUGUUAUACUGUACUCUCCCAAGUGCUUAGUACAGUGCUUUGCGCACAGUAAGCAAUCAAUAAAUGCAAUUGAAAAGAAAGCCCUGUGUGAUAGUCCUGUCUUCACCCUUCUUUUGCUUUGUGACUAAAAAUAAUAAUAAUAAUUCUUGCCUACUAUGCUCCAAGCACUCUGCUCAGCACUGGGGUAGGUACAAGGUGAUCAGGUUGGACACAGUCCCCGUCCCACAUGGGGCUCCGUGUCUUCAUCCCCUUAUACAGAUGAGGCAACUGAGGCACAGAGAAGUGAAGUGACUGAGGCACAGAGAAGCGAAGUGAGGCACAGGAAAGUGAUCCGUGGCAUAUCAGUCAUAUUUAGUGAGCACUUAAUGUGUGCAGAGCACUGUACUAAGCCCAUGGGAAG
rnacentral:lncRNA from 1 species